AGCGAACGCUGGCGGCAGGCCUAACACAUGCAAGUCGAACGAAGCCUUCGGGCUUAGUGGCGGACGGGUGAGUAACACGUGGGAACGUACCUUUUGGUUCGGAACAACUCAGGGAAACUUGAGCUAAUACCGGAUGAGCCCUUAGGGGGAAAGAUUUAUCGCCGAAAGAGCGGCCCGCGUUAGAUUAGCUAGUUGGUGAGGUAAAGGCUCACCAAGGCAACGAUCUAUAGCUGGUCUGAGAGGAUGAUCAGCCACACUGGGACUGAGACACGGCCCAGACUCCUACGGGAGGCAGCAGUGGGGAAUCUUGCGCAAUGGGCGAAAGCUUGACGCAGCCAUGCCGCGUGAAUGAUGAAGGUCUUAGGAUUGUAAAAUUCUCUCACCGGGGACGAUAAUGACGGUACCCGGAGAAGAAGCCCCGGCUAACUUCGUGCCAGCCGCCGCAGUAA
rnacentral:rRNA from 1 species